rnacentral:rRNA from 1 species
CCUACGGGGGGCAGCAGUGAGGAAUAUUGGUCAAUGGACUAGAGUCUGAACCAGCCAAGUAGCGUGAAGGAUGACUGCCCUAUGGGUUGUAAACUUCUUUUAUAAAGGAAUAAAACGAGGCACGUGUGCCUUUUUGCAUGUACUUUAUGAAUAAGGAUCGGCUAACUCCGUGCCAGCAGCCGCGGUAAUACGGAGGAUCCGAGCGUUAUCCGGAUUUAUUGGGUUUAAAGGGAGCGUAGAUGGGUUGUUAAGUCAGUUGUGAAAGUUUGCGGCUCAACCGUAAAAUUGCAAUUGAUACUGGCAGUCGUGAGUACAGUUGAGGUAGGCGGAAUUCGUGGUGUAGCGGUGAAAUGCUUAGAUAUCACGAAGAACCCCGAUUGCGAAGGCAGCUUACUAAACUGUGACUGACAUUGAUGCUCGAAAGUGUGGGUAUCAAACAGGAUUAGAUACCCUGGUAGUC